CAGCGCCACCUACACCUGCUCCGUCACAUCAUUUAGACUGAGAGAUGUCCCACUGCAGGUCAAAGAACCAUUUCCAUCCUGGGCCACAGCUCUGCUGGUUCUCCUGGUUCUCCUGGUUCUGCUGGGUCUCCUGGUUCUUGUUCUUAUCGUCUCUGGAGGUCUUUUAUUUCAUUUCCAGCACUAUUUUAAGUCAGUUGAGUGUCUCCUACUACACUACCCAUAAUGCCGAUGGUUAGCAGGUGUCCUCUGGUGGCUCCUUGACUGUCACACAAUCAUGUGCUGACAGGAAAUGUUGCAGCAGCUUCAGUAAAUGUUCCUCCCUGAGUUGUGCUCAGUCAUGUGGUGGAGAGCUUCAGAUGUUCAGAGCAGGAGAGCUCCAACAAGACCAGGACUGUGGAUUUCCACCAUCUGCUGACAUCACAAUAUAACUGCUUACUGUUAGUAGUGCAGUGUCAGUGGAUGCAUUUGACCAAAACCAGAGUGGAAACGGUCAUAGAUGUGGUGUUUCUUCAAGCAGGCUGUGAGGUGGGCAGCAAGCGGCUUCUCAACAAGCUUUGACCUGAAAGAGAAACUGAUCUAUAAUGUUGAUGUAAUGUUGGAUCUAAGCUGGGUUUGCUGAGCUUUGCUUCCACAACGGCAUGUUUGAAAAAGCUGGAACACUCCAGUCUGAAGAAAAGCGUUAAAAAGGUUUACAAGGCAAAAAGCUUUGUGGGGAGAAUCUCUGAGGGAGCUGAAGACGGCUGAUUCUCAUCAAAUGUCACAGGUGUAAAAGUAGAGCAGCAGUGAGCUGCCACAACAAGAACGCUC